rnacentral:rRNA from 1 species
UCCUAGAUGUAAAUCGAAACUUUUUAUCUGCCAGAGUACUACGAAUCAAAUGUUUAAAACUCAAAGAGCUUGGCGGUGCUUUAGACUUCUCAGGGGAACCUGUCUCGUAAUCGACAAUCCUCGAAUCAACCUCACCUCCUCUAGCAAUCAGUUUGUAUACCGUCGUCGUCAGGUAACUUUUAAAAAUAUAGAAGUUAGCAGGAAAGCUAUAAGCUCCUACGUCAGAUCAAGGUGCAGCUUAUGAGGAGGAGUAGAUGGGUUACAAUUAAAAGUUAUAAUUACGAAUACUUGCCACUAAUAAGGCUUUUGAAGGAGGACUUGAAAGUAAAGAUUUAGUAUAUAAAUAAAUUGAAUCAAGCUCUGAAGCGUGC